UGCCGCUAUGAGUGUCAAAUUGUUAAUAAUGCAAUCAUCUUCCUCAUUUACUGUAUCUGACUAUUUCACAGCUCAUUGAGAAGACCAGUGGAGUGGAAAAAUAAAUACUUAUUCAGUCUGAUUAAUCAAUCUCAGAUUCCCAACAGGUUUGUUGUCCUCCCUCAGAGAUACAUAUUCACCUGGAUCCCAGUAGUGUGAAUGAAGCACAGUCUCCUCUAGGAAGAGGGCCAAUAGCAGAGACAAGAUGCCCAACUGUGAUUGGAGGAGGCCCAAGGCAAGCCCUAAGUGGAGUCCAAUAAGAGGCUGUUCUGGGUCUUCUUUGUAUCUAUUUAUACAGAAAGGCCCUUGGUCGUCUGAGAGUGAUGGAUGAGAGCCUCUGGUCUCAGCCCAGACUGCAGACUGUCAUCCCUAGUGCAAGAGACCUGAGCUGGGCCCCAGACGUCACAUCUGCCACCGCUACUCCCCUGGGGCCCCCGGGGCAUGGGAACCUUGCUGCCUCCCCCACCCCAUUCCCCAUUCCUGUCCCUGGCCUAGUAGCUGGGACCCUGGUUUCUCUCCCUCCGUCCCUCCCUCAUUGACUUAUUAAUUUGUUCUCACAGCACUCACUUCCGCUGUCUCUCCCGUUCUCUAUUUUCACCCUCUCUCUCUCUCUCCCCGUCAUCCAUCUCUCUCUCUUUCUCUCUGUGGUCCAUCUCACCCUCCUCCUCUUUUCUCACCUCACUAUGUGAGGAUGUCAUUGGAAAAUGAUGUCAGCGGGGAGUACCAGAGGCCUGAUAGCAGCUCUGUGAGAGGCUGAGAGGAGCAUAUGGGUAAUUUCUCCUGAUAGUCCCCAGUGGUCGUGGGUGAUAAUUGUCAAGUCGGAGAGCCCUUUCAUCUCUAUUGAUCUCAGCAGAACACCAGGUGGGACAGACUGCUUCUUCCCACUGACUCAUUCAUUCCCCUAGCGAUCAAGUACUGUGGAAGCUUAUAACACAGCCAUCCCACUGGGUGACAAUUGGUUGAAUCAAUGUUGUUUCCAGGUCAUUUCAACCCACAAAAUGUAUGUGAAGAUGUUGAAUCAACAUGGAAAACGUACUUUAUUUCAACCAACUUUUAACCUAAAUCCAAUGACGUUGUUGAAUUCACAGUUAGUUGACAACUCAAUGAAAUGUAAAUCAAAACUAGAUGUUGAACUGUCAUCUGUGCCCAGUGGGAUGCUACUUAAAGUAGACAACAUGCUUACAGUAUAUAACACAGCUAUGCUACUUACAGUAACAUACACAGACAACAUGAGAAACCUUGAUUCUAACACUAGACUCUUUAUUUUCUCUAUCUCUCUCUAGCUGUAUAAGAAGCCAUUCUGUCUCUAUGUUGUGAGGAAAAUGUAUUCUGUGUGACAUUGUUACAUCCACACUCUGAUUUGUUUCAUUCAAGGUUAUGCACACAUACACGCACCACACACACACACGGACUACACACACACAUACACGCACCACACACACACACGGACUACACACACACAUACACACACGCACCGCAAAUGCACACAGACUACAGAAACACACACACAUCAUACACACACACAUCAUUACUGUAUCAUUGGCUGUCACACAUAACUUCAAUAAAGCAGUUCAGCUU